GAGAACUCUGUAAACACCCAGGUAAGGGGAGCAAACCAAGAACCUUUUGUUUUAGUUGGUUUAGUAUUAUUUUAGGAUAUAUCCACUAUUAGUUUUGUUUAUCAAUCACUGUAUUUCUUAGCUUCUGUAUAUGGGUAGCGCUUUCAUUUUAGUGAGAAGCGGAUUCUCAUUUGAUAGUCCUAUUAUGAUCUUUGGUGUAUAGGGUUUCUCUUAGUUUAUUC
rnacentral:lncRNA from 1 species